GACGAACGCUGGCGGCGUGCUUAACACAUGCAAGUCGAGCGGUAAGGCCCUUUCGGGGGUACACGAGCGGCGAACGGGUGAGUAACACGUGGGUGACCUGCCCUCAGCUCUGGGAUAAGCCUGGGAAACCGGGUCUAAUACUGGAUAUGACUCCAUGACGCAUGUUGUGGGGUGGAAAGCCUUGUGCGGCUGAGGAUGGGCCCGCGGCCUAUCAGCUUGUUGGUGGGGUGAUGGCCUACCAAGGCGACGACGGGUAGCCGGCCUGAGAGGGCGACCGGCCACACUGGGACUGAGACACGGCCCAGACUCCUACGGGAGGCAGCAGUGGGGAAUCUUGCGCAAUGGGCGAAAGCCUGACGCAGCGACGCCGCGUGAGGGAUGACGGCCUGGU
rnacentral:rRNA from 1 species